UCUAAAAUGGCAGAUAGAUGUAUAGGAUUUAAGCUCCUACUAGGAAGGCUUCUCUUCUUUUAGAA
rnacentral:tRNA from 1 species